GAUCCUGGCUCAGAAUCAACGCUGGCGGCGUGCCUAACACAUGCAAGUCGAGCGCGAAAGGGGGGGUAACUCCCCGAGUAGAGCGGCAAACGGGUGAGUAACGCGUGGGUGAUCUACCUUCGAGUGGGGAACAACACCGGGAAACCGAGGCUAAUACCGCAUAAUACCCACGGGUCAAAGGAGCAAUUCGCUUGAGGAGGGGGUCGCGGCCGAUUAGCUAGUUGGCGGGGUAAUGGCCCACCAAGGCAGUGAUCGGUAUCCGGCCUGAGAGGGCGCACGGACACACUGGAACUGAAACACGGUCCAGACUCCUACGGGAGGCAGCAGUGGGGAAUUUUGCGCAAUGGGGGAAACCCUGACGCAGCAACGCCGCGCGGAGGAUGAAGUCUCUUGGGACGUAAACUCCUUUCGAUCGGAACGAUUAUGACGGUACCGGAAGAAGAAGCCCCGGCUAACUUCGUGCCAGCAGCCGCGGUAAUACGAGGGGGGCGAGCGUUGUUCGGAAUUAUUGGGCGUAAAGGGUGCGUAGGCGGUUCGGUAAGUUUGAUGUGAAAUCUUCGGGCUCAACUCGAAGUCUGCAUCGAAAACUGCCGGGCUUGAGUGUGGGAGAGGUGAGUGGAAUUUCCGGUGUAGCGGUGAAAUGCGUAGAUAUCGGAAGGAACACCUGUGGCGAAAGCGGCUCACUGGACCACAACUGACGCUGAUGCACGAAAGCUAGGGGAGCAAACAG
rnacentral:rRNA from 1 species